GGCUAGCACAGUUGAUUACCAAGUCUUGAUUUGAAGAGUGGAGAAAGUUGUGUGAAAAAAAAACGUCCAGAUAUGAAAAGGUGUACAUAGUAACUAUGUGCUGCAGUAGAUUACUUCCCCUCAUGAGCCAUAGCAUGCAGAGCUCUGUAAAGAUACACUAAGACUUCCAAGAAACCUCUCAGGAAAAGGAUAUAAAAUACUGGAGUGUUUAAAAGCCAUGAUUUUUUGCUUCUCUUCUUUUCUGUCUUUCUGAGGUGAGCCUCGGCAGCACUGGCCGGAGUAAUUCAACUGAUCCCCAUCUCUGCAUGGUGAAUUACCAUGCUUGGCACAUGCAGGCUUGUCUGGAUUGCUGCUGCUCAGCCAGGUAGCACAGAAUGAAUUUGCAGACCAGUCUUCUGACACGCGUGAAGCAGCGCCAGUUAUUCAAGUCCUACAUGGACGAGGAGGAAGCGUGAUAUAAAAAUAUCAUGUAGAGGCCAGGAUCAGUGCCAGAUGUGGUUGCAUGUGCUGAGAGGAGAAGAGAAAAAUUGCAGCAGGUAACUCAUUUGUUUGGCUUUGUGGCCCACUGGGGCCAAGAAUAGCAUCGUCUUCAAAUCUGCCACAGCUUACAUUCCUUGCAUUCUUGGUGAUCUACGUUUUAAUAACAGCCUAAUUGUUGUUUCUUCCAAAGGAAUUUUUGACACAAACUACAUGUUAAAUUAGAUAAAAGAUGUAAAUAGUACAAUUAGCACAAGGAAAAAAUAUCCCUGAAAGCAUCAGAUCUGUAAAAAUGUAGCUAAUUGAGUGUAUUAACAUUAACUUCUGCAUAAUAAGAUGUGCUUGAUGCAAUGAGUUAAUGCAUUAGCCUUUCACCCUAGAAACCUUUACUUUAAGCCAGAAUCACAUAAAAAUGAAUUUGGUAGCUUCAUACAACUCUCUUUGUAACAUUAAUCCACUUUAUACAUGUCACAACUCAGUUUGAUCUGCCUGGGUACU
rnacentral:lncRNA from 1 species